GAUGAAGAACGCAGCGAAAUGCGAUAAGUAAUGUGAAUUGCAGAAUUCAGUGAAUCAUCGAAUCUUUGAACGCACAUUGCGCCCCUUGGUAUUCCGAGGGGCAUGCCUGCUCGAGCGUCAUUAUAACCCCUCAAGCUCAGCUUGGUGUUGGGGCCUGCCGCACGGGCAGCCCUUAAAAUCAGUGGCGGUGCCAUCUGGCUCUAAGCGUAGUAAUUCUUCUCGCUAUAGAGUCCCGGUGGAUGCUUGCCAUUAACCCCCAAUUUUCUAUGGUUGACCUCGGAUCAGGUAGGGAUACCCGCUGAACUUAAGCAUAUCAAUAAGCGGAGGA
rnacentral:misc_RNA from 1 species